rnacentral:rRNA from 1 species
UACGGGGGGGGCAAGCGUUGUUCGGAAUUACUGGGCGUAAAGGGCUCGUAGGCGGCCAACUCAGUCGGACGUGAAAUCCCCAGGCUCAACCUGGGAACUGCGUCCGAUACUGGAUGGCUUGAAUCCGGGAGAGGGAUGCAGAAUUCCAGGUGUAGCGGUGAAAUGCGUAGAUAUCUGGAGGAAUACCGGUGGCGAAGGCGGCAUCCUGGACCGGCAUUGACGCUGAGGAGCGAAAGCCAGGGGAGCAAACGGG